AUUGAACGCUGGCGGCAUGCCUAACACAUGCAAGUCGAACGGUAACAGGCCUUCGGGUGCUGACGAGUGGCGGACGGGUGAGUAACGCGUAGGAAUCUGCCUGGUAGUGGAGGACAACCCGGGGAAACUCGGGCUAAUACUGCAUACGCCCUACGGGGGAAAGCGGGGGCUCUUCGGACCUCGCGCUAUCAGAUGAGCCUGCGUUGGAUUAGCUUGUUGGUGGGGUAAAGGCCUACCAAGGCUGCGAUCCAUAGCUGGUCUGAGAGGAUGAUCAGCCACACUGGGACUGAGACACGGCCCAGACUCCUACGGGAGGCAGCAGUGGGGAAUAUUGGACAAUGGGGGCAACCCUGAUCCAGCAAUGCCGCGUGUGUGAAGAAGGCCUGCGGGUUGUAAAGCACUUUCAGUGGGGAAGAAAAGCGGGCGCUUAAUACGUGCUUGUCUUGACAUCACCCACAGAAGAAGCACCGGCUAACUCCGUGCCAGCAGCCGCGGUAAUACGGAGGGUGCGAGCGUUAAUCGGAAUUACUGGGCGUAAAGCGCACGUAGGUGGUUAUGUCAGUCAGAUGUGAAAGCCCCGGGCUUAACCUGGGAAUUGCAUCUGAUACUGCAUGGCUAGAGUUUGGUAGAGGAGAGUGGAAUUUCCGGUGUAGCGGUGAAAUGCGUAGAUAUCGGAAGGAACACCAGUGGCG
rnacentral:rRNA from 1 species